rnacentral:piRNA from 1 species
UAUAGAUAACAUUUCUUUCCA